UGGGGAAUAUUGGGCAAUGGGCGAAAGCCUGACCCAGCAACGCCGCGUGAAGGAAGAAGGUCUUCGGAUUGUAAACUUCUUUUAUGAGGGACGAAGGACGUGACGGUACCUCAUGAAUAAGCCACGGCUAACUACGUGCCAGCAGCCGCGGUAAUACGUAGGUGGCAAGCGUUAUCCGGAUUUACUGGGUGUAAAGGGCGCGUAGGCGGGAUGCAAGUCAGAUGUGAAAUCUAUGGGCUUAACUCAUAAACUGCAUUUGAAACUGUAUCUCUUGAGUGCUGGAGAGGUAGACGGAAUUCCUUGUGUAGCGGUGAAAUGCGUAGAUAUAAGGAAGAACACCAGUGGCGAAGGCGGUCUACUGGACAGUAAACUGACGCUGAGGCGCGAAAGCGUGGGGAGCAAACAAGGAGUUAGAUACC
rnacentral:rRNA from 1 species